rnacentral:rRNA from 1 species
UCCUUAGAUGUUCUGGGCCGCACGCGCGCUACACUGAUGCAUUCAACGAGCCUAUCCUUGACCGACAGGUCCGGGUAAUCUUUGAAUCUGCAUCGUGACGGGGAUAGAUUAUUGCAAUUAUUAAUCUUCAACGAGGAAUGCCUAGUAGGCGCAAGUCAUCAGCUUGCGUCGAUUACGUCCCUGCCCUUUGUACACACCGCCCGUCGCUCCUACCGAUUGGGUGUGCUGGUGAAAUGUUCGGAUCGGCCGUUUGUCGCGGUUUCCGCGUCAUGUGGCUGAGAAGUUCAUUAAACCCUCCCACCGAGAGGAAGGAGAAGUCGUAACA